UGGAGGUAUCUUUAAUCACCCACUCCACUCACCUCAAAGGUAAGCUCUUCAAAAGCAGCCUAUAGUUAUACUGUGCUCCUACCAAAUCAUGCUUCUGGAAGCCAAAUAAGUGAAUCCAGAAAGUGAAAAUCAAACAUAACAUGUUUCACAUAAUAAAUAGUGGCAAAGUUCAGGGCAGAAAUGUGGGAGCAGCCAUUGAGCGCCACAGCUACUAAUACAGAAUAUUUGGUCAAAUCCUCUGUCUAGAUCCCCAUUGAGUAGCUAUGGGCGAUAAUGACAGACAAUUCCAGAAUCUCAUCAUGUAGUGCACGGCAAGUACAGAAAGAAACACAAGGGACCAGGAAGCCUCAGGGAAAUCUGAAGGCAGUCACUGCCUAACAUGGAAGGGCUCACAAAACAGGCUUCCUCCAGAGGUUCCUUUAAGCACAGUAAAAUUUCCCAGAACUUGAACCUGUAACUCCACAGUCUGAGACAAGAAUUUCCUCUACUCCUUUCAAGUAUAAAUGAGGCAAGAAAGCUUCAAGUUGAACUUUUCCAAUCUGAUCCCGAACUUGAUGACAACUGAAAAUACAAUGCCUGCUUUUGCUGGUAGUUCUGCUCCAACAAUCUAAAAGGCAAUCACAAAAGACACAUUGUUUCAAAUGGAAAUUCUAUCCUGAAAUAAUUCACUUCGGCACAAACUGAAAACCCAUACCCGAUUGGACCUUGACUAACCCUAACGAUUUCAAUCUCUGCAAUUUCCUGUCAAAUAUGCCAACAACUCCAGCCCAAAGUGGGAGAAGAGAUUCAACAAGAUGGGUAAAAUACUGAGAAGUCUUAAAGAUAGGUGAUAGG